GUUCCAAUUCAGAAACAGGGGAGAUUGCUUGCACUAAAGAAAGUCUAAAGGAAUUUACAGGAGAGAAGAUGCAGCCUGGGAGAGAUGUAGCAGGUGUCUGAGGCCACACAGCAAGUCACCCAGGGCCAGGAUCUGAAGCUGGGUCUCUCCAGCUCCACUGCCUGGGCACUUUCUCCUCCACAGCGACCUUCAGGUCAUCAUGAGGAGCCUUUCAGACUAAAGCUAGAGAGCUGGGAUUCCAACAGUUCAGCAACCCAUGACUUCUCCAUGGCAGCUGCUGCCUGACCACCUAGUGCCUUUCCACUAAGAUUGUUCCUUCCCUCUCCUGAAGAUUAUCCUCCUGCCCCUCUCUCCCAAACAUCUGCG
rnacentral:lncRNA from 1 species